UACGUAGGGUGCGUAGGUGGCAGGGUAAGUCGGAUGUGAAAUCCCGGGGCUCAACCUCGGAACUGCAUUCGAAACUGCCGAGCUGGAGUCCUGGAGAGGAAGGCGGAAUUCUCGGCGUAGAGGUGAAAUUCGUAGAUAUCGAGAGGAACACUGGUGGCGAAGGCGGCCUUCUGGACAGUGAUUGACGCUAAGACGCGAAAGCGUGGGGAGCAAACAGG
rnacentral:rRNA from 1 species